rnacentral:rRNA from 1 species
GUAGGUGGCAAGCGUUGUCCGGAAUUAUUUGGCGUAAAGCGCGCGCAGGUGGGUUCUUUAAGUCUGAUGUGAAAGCCCCCGGGCUCAACCGGGGAGGGUCAUUGGAAACUGGGGAACUUGAGUGCAGGAAAGGAAAGUGGAAUUCCACGUGUAGCGGUGAAAUGCGUAGAUAUGUGGAGGAACACCAGUGGCGAAGGCGACUUUCUGGCCUGUAACUGACACUGAGGCGCGAAAGCGUGGGGAGCAAACAGGAUUAGAUACCCUGGUAGUCCACGCCGUAAACGAUGAGUGCUAAGUGUUGGGGGGUUUCCGCCCCUCAGUGCUGCAGCUAACGCAUUAAGCACUCCGCCUGGGGAGUACGGUCGCAAAGACUG